rnacentral:rRNA from 1 species
GAUGAACGCUAGCUACAGGCUUAACACAUGCAAGUCGCGGGGCAGCAUGGGGGUUGCUUGCCAUCCCCGAUGGCGACCGGCGCACGGGUGAGUAACGCGUAUCCAACCUGCCCUUCACCACGGGAUAACCCGGCGAAAGUCGGACUAAUACCGUAUGUUGUCCAUUGACGGCAUCCGAUUUGGACGAAAGGCUUGGCGGUGAGGGAUGGGGAUGCGUCCGAUUAGCCAGACGGCGGGGUAACGGCCCACCGUGGCUACGAUCGGUAGGGGUUCUGAGAGGAAGGUCCCCCACACUGGAACUGAGACACGGUCCAGGCUCCUACGGGAGGCAGCAGUGAGGAAUAUUGGUCAAUGGGCGUAAGCCUGAACCAGCCAAGUAGCGUGCAGGAGGACGGCCCUAUGGGUUGUAAACUGCUUUUAUGCGGGGAUAAAGUGGCCCACGUGUGGGCUUUUGCAGGUACCGCAUGAAUAAGGACCGGCUAAUUCCGUG